AUUGAACGCUGGCGGCAUGCUUUACACAUGCAAGUCGAACGGUAACAGGGAGCUUGCUCCGCUGACGAGUGGCGAACGGGUGAGUAAUGCGUCGGAACGUGCCGAGUAGUGGGGGAUAACGCAUCGAAAGGUGUGCUAAUACCGCAUACGAACUGAGGUUGAAAGUGGGGGACCUUCGGGCCUCACGCUAUUCGAGCGGCCGACGUCUGAUUAGCUAGUUGGUGAGGUAAAGGCUCACCAAGGCGACGAUCAGUAGCGGGUCUGAGAGGAUGAGCCGCCACACUGGGACUGAGACACGGCCCAGACUCCUACGGGAGGCAGCAGUGGGGAAUUUUGGACAAUGGGCGCAAGCCUGAUCCAGCCAUGCCGCGUGUCUGAAGAAGGCCUUCGGGUUGUAAAGGACUUUUGUCCGGGAGCAAAUGCUGGUGGCUAACAUCCACCGGAGCUGAGAGUACCGGAAGAAUAAGCACCGGCUAACUACGUGCCAGCAGCCGCCGUAAAAC
rnacentral:rRNA from 1 species